rnacentral:misc_RNA from 1 species
AAGUCAUAACAAGGUUUCUGUAGGUGAACCUGCAGAAGGAUCAUUGGUAGAUGACAAUGGGCUCCUGCGGUCUUCCGUGGGGCCUUCACACACGAGUGAACUCUCUUACGUUAAAACACUGUCUACAGAAAAAGGAUACAUACAUUGAAACUAUAAUACAACUUUUGGCAAUGGAUCUCUUGGUUCUC